UUGAGUAACAGUGCAAUGUGAAGUCAUCUGACUAUCUAUCUUUGUCACUUAAAGGGAAGACGACACCUAAAGAUGAAGCAAACUUGGAGGGAAACAGAUCUGACAGAUGGAGGGAGAAACUGAUUCCUAAUCACAUUGUUUGAAUGCUUGGGACCUGCCAUUUACGAGGUAUUUCAUAGAGAAGCCACAGAAGAUCAUUUUCAUAUUUUGCAAAUGAAAUGACAGUACUGGAGUAGUUUCCCAUAAUGGAGAUGCUUUGGGCAAUUGACAACUAUUAUAUGACUCAUCAUCUUCAAAUAAUUUACCCACUAGAGAUGAAAGACUUGUGGACUUCCAUCUUUCUUUGGCCCUCACAAUUUUUCUCUUCCACCACCAAUAAAAUAGUCACACAUAAUCACAAUCCUAUUAUGUGCAAAGACUUUGAAGUACAGGGGUCCCUGGCUUCCUGCAGUCCAGCAUCCACAGAGCAUAUUGAGUGAAAUAUUGACAUCUUCAGGUACUCCUUAGAGGACCAAUGAUUUGUGGUUUUGUAGACUGUUUUUAUGGGAAUUGAAUGGUAAAUGCAACUGCCAUGAAAUGGCUUGAAUUGUCACAUUGAUGAAAAUGCGUUUGCUAAGUGAUUUUGUAAAUUACUUUAUGGAGUAUAAAACAUCUGCAUUUAGUUGGAUUCUAUUUGGCUGAAUAAAAAUACUUCCAAUUCAAACCUCUUGUAUCUGAUAAUGACAAUGUACUGGAAAACCUGAAAUUGCAUAAGACAAUCUAAACAUGUUUUCUUUUAUAAAGCAGAUAGCACUGUUAGUAUGUGGCAUACUAGAUUGUGCUCACUAAAGUGACAAAUUCUUCCUAAGGUUAUAUAAAUGCCACACUACGCAUUUUCACUUAUAUGUCCAAAUAACACACAGCAUCCGAUAAGUGCUGGGAUAUAAGAAGAUAACUCCUAGGUCUACUUUUCAAAAAUGCCAAUUGUAAGAAUAAAAUGCUUUCUUACAAGAACAUGAAAUGAUAGUAAGACAGUAUUCUUUUAAAUUGCCUAAAAAAUGAAAGGAAAAUUUGAUUGCUUGCUAAUUUUGUGUUGUUUAUCUAUAGAAUAUUAAAGUCAGAGAAAAGCGUAGGAAAAAAAAUGUUCCAAGAGUCCAGAGAUGGUAUAGCUUUAUACACAGAAAUUUCCACCAGAGGUUUCCUAUCAAAAAACACUAAGAGAAGACUAGGUGUAUUAUGAUCAAUUCUUUUUUAUUUAAAGAUUUAUUUAUUUAUUUGAAAAGCAGACUUACAGAAAUUCAGAGGCAGAAGGAGAGGUCUUCCAUUUGCCAGUUUACUGCCCAGAGGGCUGCAAUGGCUGGAGCUGCGCCAAUCCGAAGCCAGGAGCCUAGAGCUUCUUUCUGGUCUCCCACGUGGAUGCAGAGGCCCAAGGACCUGCACCAUCCUCCACUGCCCUACUAGACCAUAUCAGAGAACUGGAUCGGAAGUGGAGCAUCUGGGACUUGAACUGGUGCCCAUAUGGGAUGCUAGCACCACAGACAGCAGUUUUACCUGCCACACCACAGUGUCAGUCCCUGUGAUCAAUUCUAAACGAGACUGUCUUACAGAGAUAUGCGAGAAUACCAAGUGUGAAACAGGUGUUGUGACAGCUCAUGAAAUACCUGCACCUUCAUAUAAUUUACUAUCCAUAGUAACCCCCAGUAUUCUGUUUGAAGGAAAUCUUUCUAUGGUGUGAAUCACAGGCUGUCUAUGCAACCAGAUCCCCUCCUAUUCUUAUAGCUCACUAGUUCUCCCUUCAGUGUAAACAGUAACAUUAUUUCAACACUUAGUAAAUCAUGAAUUUUAUAGUAGUUUAUAAUCACUAGGACAAUACUGUUGUGUCUUUUAGCAUAUGUAAUUUGAGCUAAUUAAAAUAUCUUAUGAUGGAGCUGGUGCUGUGGAGCAGUAGGUUGAGCAUCUGUCUAAGGUGCCGGCAUCCCAUAUGGGUACCAGUUGGAGUCCUGUCUCUGCUAAUGGCCUGGGAAAGCAGUGGAAGAUGAGCUAAAUAUUUGGGCUGCUGCAUCCACGUGGGAGAUCUAAAAGAAGCUUCUGGUUCCUGGCUUCAGAUCAGCUCAGCUCUGGCCACUGGGGCCAUUUGGAAAGUGAACUAGCGGAUGGAAGACCUCUCUCUCUGUCUCUCCCUUUUUCUGUUUGUAACUCUGCCUCUCAAAUAAACAAAUAAAUAAAUCCUUAAAAAUAUCUAUUGCAAACAAACAGGCAAUAUCACUAAAACAGAGGAAUAGAAGUGCUACUAUUAGAUUUAUA